ACGGAAGGCAGCAGUGAGGAAUAUUGGUCAAUGGGCGGAAGCCUGAACCAGCCAAGUCGCGUGAAGGAUGAAGGUAUUAUGUAUUGUAAACUUCUUUAGUCGCAGGGAAAUAAGGCGGACGUGUCCGCUGAUGCUAGUAUGCGAAGAAUAAGGAUCGGCUAACUCCGUGCCAGCAGCCGCGGUAAUACGGAGGAUGCGAGCGUUAUCCGGAUUUAUUGGGUUUAAAGGGUGCGUAGGCGGGAUGUUAAGUCAGCGGUUAAAUAGUGUAGCUCAACUAUACUUUGCCGUUGAAACUGGCGUUCUUGAGUGUAAACGAGGUAGGCGGAAUGUGACGUGUAGCGGUGAAAUGCUUAGAUAUGUCACAGAACCCCGAUUGCGAAGGCAGCUUACCAGGAUACAACUGACGCUGAGGCACGAAAGCGUGGGUAUCAAACAGGAUUAGAUACCCUGGUA
rnacentral:rRNA from 1 species